rnacentral:miRNA from 1 species
UUUGUUUUACGGGCGGAAAUUGUUACCAUUUUCGGCUCAAAAAAUGGUAACAAUUUUCGCACGUAAUACAAA